AGUGAACGCUGGCGGUAGGCCUAACACAUGCAAGUCGAACGGCAGCACAGUAAGAGCUUGCUCUUACGGGUGGCGAGUGGCGGACGGGUGAGGAAUACAUCGGAAUCUACUUUUUCGUGGGGGAUAACGUAGGGAAACUUACGCUAAUACCGCAUACGACCUACGGGUGAAAGCAGGGGAUCUUCGGACCUUGCGCGAUUGAAUGAUCCGAUGUCGGAUUAGCUAGUUGGCGGGGUAAAGGCCCACCAAGGCGACGAUCCGUAGCUGGUCUGAGAGGAUGAUCAGCCAAACUGGAACUGAGGCACGGUCCAGACUCUUACGGGAGGCAGCAGUGGGGAAUAUUGGACAAUGGGCGCAAGCCUGAUCCAGCCAUACCGCGUGGGUGAAGAAGGCCUUCGGGUUGUAAAGACCUUUUGUUGGGAAAGAAAAGCAGCAGGUUAAUACCCCGCUGUUCUGACGGUACCCAAAGAAUAAGCACCGGCUAACUUCGUG
rnacentral:rRNA from 1 species